rnacentral:rRNA from 1 species
AGGAUGAACGCUGGCGGCGUGCCUAACACAUGCAAGUCGAACGUCCUGUCUCGCAAGAGGCAGGGAGUGGCGGACGGGUGAGUACCACGUGGGUCAUCUACCGUGAGGUGAGGAAUACCGGCGAGAAAUCGCCGACAAGACCGCAUAGGCUCGAUGCAAGUCGAGCAAAGCUCUUUCGAGAGAGGGAGCGCCACACGAGGAGCCUGCGCCCGAUUAGCUAGCUGGUGGAGUAACGGUUCACCAGGGCGACGAUCGGUAGCUGGUCUGAGAGGACGAUCAGCCACACUGGGAUUGAGAACGGCCCAGACUCCUACGGGGGGCAGCAGUGGGGAAUCUUGCACAAUGGGCGAAAGCCUGAUGCAGCGACGCCGCGUGAGGGAUGACUGCCUUCGGGUUGUAAACCUCUUUCAGCAGGGACGAAGCGAAAGUGACGGUACCUGCAGAAGAAGCACCGGCCAACUACGCGCCAGCA